AUUGAACGCUGGCGGCGGGCCUAACACAUGCAAGUCGAGCGGUUGACGGGAGCUUGCUCCCUGAUUCAGCGGCGGACGGGUGAGUAAUGCCUAGGAAUCUGCCUAUUAGUGGGGGACAACGUUUCGAAAGGAACGCUAAUACCGCAUACGUCCUACGGGAGAAAGCAGGGGACCUUCGGGCCUUGCGCUAAUAGAUGAGCCUAGGUCGGAUUAGCUUGUUGGUGAGGUAAUGGCUCACCAAGGCGACGAUCCGUAACUGGUCUGAGAGGAUGAUCAGUCACGCUGGAACUGAGACACGGUCCAGACUCCUACGGGAGGCAGCAGUGGUGAAUAUUGGACAAUGGGCGAAAGCCUGAUCCAGCCAUGCCGCGUGUGUGAAGAAGGUCUUCGGAUUGUAAAGCACUUUAAGUUGGGAGGAAGGGUUGUAGAUUAAUACUCUGCAAUUUUGACGUUACCGACAGAAUAAGCACCGGCUAACUCUGUGCCAGCCGCCGCCGUAA
rnacentral:rRNA from 1 species